GAUGAACGCUAGCGGCAGGCCUAAUACAUGCAAGUCGAGGGGCAGCGCGGUAGCAAUACUGGCGGCGACCGGCGCACGGGUGUGUAACACGUAUACAAUCUACCUUAAACAGGGGAUAGCCUUUCGAAAGAGAGAUUAAUACCCGUAAUAAAUUGAACGGCAUCGUUUGAUUUUGAAAGCUCCGGCGGUUUGAGAUGAGUAUGCGUCUGAUUAGCUAGUUGGUGAGGUAACGGCUCACCAAGGCGACGAUCAGUAGGGGAUCUGAGAGGACUAACCCCCACACUGGUACUGAGACACGGACCAGACUCCUACGGGAGGCAGCAGUAAGGAAUAUUGGUCAAUGGAGGCAACUCUGAACCAGCCAUGCCGCGUGCAGGAUGACGGCCCUAUGGGUUGUAAACUGCUUUUAUACAAGAGAAAACCCUGGUACGUGUACCAGGUUGAUAGUAUUGUAAGAAUAAGCAUCGGCUAACUUCGUGCCAGCAGCCGCGGUAAU
rnacentral:rRNA from 1 species